GACUGAAUACAGCUCAGUCAAUAGUGCAUGCGACUCUUAAUCUCAAGGUUGUGGGUUCAAGCCCCAAGUUGGGCA